CUGAAAGGCUUGUUGCAAAGCACCGUUAGGUCCCCAGAGGAGGAGGUCUGAAGACUGGACAGUAUUGGCUUAGGUGCUACAGUGGCAAAGCUACAGGAAGACAAGUCCACAGCCAGUACCAUGAAGAUCCCAUGAUGUCUGUUUUGUAACUUUUUAGGAGUCCCGGACCAUGCCAUAACCUUCUUCUUGUGAAAAUGUUUGAUCAAGGGAAUAUUGUUCAACAACACCAUGUUCUUUAACAAGUUCUUUAGCAAGACGGACACAUUAAAGACAAGAGACUGCAGAAGAGACAUGCAUUUCAUGAGAAUUAUGAUCAUUGGAGCAAAUGCCACAUAAAAUAAAAAGUCCUUCAUCUCUUCAGGGUCACGUUGCUAGCUACUUGUAUCACUGUAACAAGCAAUUCUAAACUGCUUAUAACAAUCCAGUAUAGUUCUCUUGAAGAACAAAGGGCACUUCACUUUGAAAGCAGUUUAAAUCUAGCCCCAAAAAUGUGGCUGUUUCUAUCCUGUAAAACCAAAGAUGUCACGGUGAAACUAUACUAGUAUCAAAACAAAUACAGCAGAAUCACUGAAGUGAGGAGAAAGAGCCAUAGAGAUAAGCAAAGUAUUAAAGCUGCCAACCAAGGACAAGACAACUUUUAAAGGGCAAUUACAGAGAACACAACCUAGAAUUAUUAUUUUCUUUUAGAAAAGUUGUUUCUUUAGCUGUAUCACAGAUUUCCUGAUGGGCAUGUGAACCUUAAUAAAAUAUGAAAAUACUAGUAUACCAGCAA